rnacentral:rRNA from 1 species
UAGGGAAUCUUCGGCAAUGGACGAAAGUCUGACCGAGCAACGCCGCGGGAGUGAAGAAGGUUUUCGGAUCGUAAAACUCUGUUGUUAGAGAAGAACAAGGACGUUAGUAACUGAACGUCCCCUGACGGUAUCUAACCAGAAAGCCACGGCUAACUACGUGCCAGCAGCCGCGGUAAUACGUAGGUGGCAAGCGUUGUCCGGAUUUAUUGGGCGUAAAGCGAGCGCAGGCGGUUUCUUAAGUCUGCUGUGAAAGCCCCCGGCUCAACCGGGGAGGGUCAUUGGAAACUGGGAGACUUGAGUGCAGAAGAGGAGAGUGGAAUUCCAUGUGUAGCGGUGAAAUGCGUAGUUAUAUGGAGGAACACCAGUGACGAAGGCGGCUCUCUGGUCUGUAACUGACGCUGAGGCUCGAAAGCGUGGGGAGCAAACAGG